GGUCUCACUAUGUAGCUCAGGCUGUCCUUGGACUCACUGUGUAGUCCAGGCUGGCCUUGAACUCAUGACAAUUCUCCUGCCUCAGCCUCCAUAGUGCUGGCCUUACAGAUGUGUGCUACCAUGCCC
rnacentral:miRNA from 1 species